UCUCAAACUAUGGGGGCA
rnacentral:miRNA from 1 species